UUCCUUUAGUUAUUAGUGCAUAUCGGAUUGUGACUUCUGGGAUUACAGCCCCUGAUUGUGCGAAAAAUCGUGUUUUAGGUUAUUGGCCUAUUGAUUGUCAACAAAAUCAUUAAAAUCUGAUUAAGUUUAUAUUUAUCAUGCACCCUAAAACACUAACACAUGUUUAACUAAUCUUGAAUUUGAUUUCAGAAGCCUGUAGAAAAUUACAUAUAAACAGUACUAUUAAAGAGAUCAAUGAUUUCAUUGGAGAUACAUGUACCCUCAAAUAUGCUCAGAAGCCUGUAGAAAAUUACAUAUAAACAAACAGUACUAUUAAAGAGAUCAAUGAUUCCAUUGGAGAUACCCUCAAAUAUGCUCAGAAGAGUUACCUUACAAGAUACAAAUGAUAGUGAUGAGUCAGGGCCGAUGAGUCAUAAUUAUAUACUGAUUCUUUGAUACUGCAUGAUUAUAUGCUGAUUCUGUGAUACUGUAUGAGAAUAUAUAAACUGAUUCUGUGAUACUGUAUGACAUACUGAUUUUGUGGUUCUGAAUAGUUCUGAUACUGUGAUAUGUGAUUGUAUACAGAUUUUGUGAUUCUGAUUACUUUGAUACUGCAUGAUUAUAUACUGGUUCUGUGAUACUAUAUGAUGAUUAUAUACUGGUUCUGUGAUACUAUAUGAUGAUUAUAUACUGGUUCUGUGAUACUAUAUGAUGAUUAUAUGUACUGAUUCUGUGAUACUAGUUGAUUAUAUACUGAUUCUGUGGUUCUGAUUACUGUGAUAAUGUAUGACUAUAUACUGAUUCUGUGAUUCUAAUUUCAGUGAUACUGUAUGAGUAUAAUAAAAUUAUGUGAAUAAAUAUGAUAAUACGCUUAUACUGUAUGAUAAGAGAGAUACUAUGAUAAUAUACUGAUUCUGUGAUAAUAUCUGAUAAUAUACUGAUUCUGUGACACUUUGUGAUUAUAUACUGAUAACUGUGAUACUUUAUGAUUAUAUUCCGAUACAGUAUGAUGAUGUACUGAU